AGUGAACGCUGGCGGUAGGCCUAACACAUGCAAGUCGAACGGCAGCACAGUAAGAGCUUGCUCUUACGGGUGGCGAGUGGCGGACGUGUGAGGAAUACAUCGGAAUCUACUUUUUCGUGGGGGAUAACGUAGGGAAACUUACGCUAAUACCGCAUACGACCUACGGGUGAAAGCAGGGGAUCUUCGGACCUUGCGCGAUUGAAUGAGCCGAUGUCGGAUUAGCUAGUUGGCGGGGUAAAGGCCCACCAAGGCGACGAUCCGUAGCUGGUCUGAGAGGAUGAUCAGCCACCCUGGAACUGAGACACGGUCCAGACUCCUACGGGAGGCAGCAGUGUGGAAUAUUGGACAAUGGGCGCAAACCUGAUCCAGCCAUACCGCGUGGGUGAAGAAGGCCUUCGGGUUGUAAAGCCCUUUUGUUGGGAAAGAAAAGCAGCAGGUUAAUACCCCGCUGUUCUGACGGUACCCAAAGAAUAAGCACCGGCUAACUUCGUG
rnacentral:rRNA from 1 species